rnacentral:rRNA from 1 species
UGGGGAAUAUUGCAGCAAUGGGCGAAAGCCUGAUGCAGCAACGCCGCGUGAGGGACGACGGCCUUCGGGUUGUAAACCUCUUUUAGCAAGGAAGAAGCGAAAGUGACGGUACUUGCAGAAAAACGCGCCGGCUAACUACGUGCCAGCAGCCGCGGUAAUACGUAGGGCGCAAGCGUUAUCCGGAAUUAUUGGGCGUAAAGAGCUCGUAGGCGGUUUGUCGCGUCUGCUGUGAAAACCCGAGGCUCAACCUCGGGCCUGCAGUGGGUACGGGCAGACUAGAGUGCGGUAGGGGAGAUUGGAACUCCUGGUGUAGCGGUGGAAUGCGCAGAUAUCAGGAAGAACACCGAUGGCGAAGGCAGAUCUCUGGGCCGUAACUGACGCUGAGGAGCGAAAGGGUGGGGAGCAAAACAGGGCUUAGAAUGACCCUGGUAGUCCACCCCGUAAACGUUGGGAACU